UACGAAGGGGGCUAGCGUUGUUCGGAUUUACUGGGCGUAAAGCGCGCGUAGGCGGAUUCUUAAGUCAGGGGUGAAAUCCCGGGGCUCAACCUCGGAACUGCCCUUGAUACUGGGAAUCUCGAGUUCGGGAGAGGUGAGUGGAACUGCGAGUGUAGAGGUGAAAUUCGUAGAUAUUCGCAAGAACACCAGUGGCGAAGGCGGCUCACUGGCCCGGUACUGACGCUGAGGUGCGAAAGCGUGGGAGCAA
rnacentral:rRNA from 1 species